ensembl:lncRNA
CACGAACCCCCCACUGUCACAGUCGAGGCAAAUAUAGUCGCGUGGACCAGACUAGAAGAAACCCCCCACCCUCCUCUGACCCGCUCCUUACGCAAAUAAACCUCUGAAGGUUAUGUGAGUGUUUAGACGGAGGCUGGCGUUAAGGAGGAGAGACGUGGACGCUACCGAUCACCAUGGCUUCCACCCCCUCGGCCUCUGCCCUGUCCGCUGUUCUCCGGUGCCGGGGGAAUAUCUGGACGAGGAAUCCGCCGGCCAAGCGGCCUGCCAGCUCGGCGUACGGCCUAGGACUGGCCGGCGGGGCGCUGCGCGACUCUCCGGGCGAGCGCAGCGGCUCACACCAGGCGUCAGCGGCGGAGGCUUCUCCACACGGAGAGUGUGUGGUGGUCCUGGUGGGAAGAAGGCUGAUUGUUUCGUACAGGUCGGACAGAGUGGGGGGUAAAGUUUCCAGGGAAGUGAGUGGAUUACGUUACCCAAAACUUUCGCAAUCUCCAGCGCACGCGCACUCAGCUGCGCCUGCGCUGGUGCGCGUACUAGCGAGCAGACUGUCUGGAAAUAAUAAAUGCUCUAAAAUAAUUCAGAUUAAAGAUCCUGCACACAUCCGCAAAAGCGCUUUGGUUAAAGACACGAGUGAAAUCUCUGCGAGCGUCCUGAAGCUGUCCGUGACGUCCCCUCCGUGUUUAGUGGGACAAAUCCCGUCCUUCAUGUUAAACGGCUGCUCAGGCAGCAGCCCCGAUGAAGCACCACGACAUCUGCUGUGCCAGCGGGAUGAGAACAACUCCAGCAGCCGGAGCCUCCAGGCAAACAAACAGACCUCUUACAAGAACAACUCCAGCUCAGCACAAAAGAUCACACAGGAAGGACCUGACUGAGUCCAAGGCCUCAGCGCCACAAAGAAGCAUUGCGAUCAACAUCAUUUAUUGACUUUUCAGGACACACACCACAUCUGGACUUCAACCUGCUGAUAGAAACCAACCAGCUGUUUUUCAUGGCACACUAACCAGUGGCAAAUGAAUGGAAGAACCAGAAUGAAGUGUUUGAAAUGAAGCGUUGAGCCUCCACAAACACCAUUAGUGCUGUUUGGCAGCGACUCUCUAAAUCUCUGAUUUGGGCAAGACCAUAUUUACUGUAAAAAAAUGUUUUCCCUUAUCUGUUUUUUUGAUGAUAAUGGUCGAGGGCAAAGUCCCACAUGGAUUAGUGAUCAAUUAGAUUGAGAUCAGAUUGAGUCGCAUACUGUGGCAAAGGCUACAGCGUGUGGUUUGCAACAUUUUCACCCUCUUAAGACUUUUCAGUGGUUGGGGAUAUGUCAUCAUGGAAGAGCCCACUCCCACCAGGACAAAAAUAUUUAAUCAUUAAGCUGAUGUUUCUGCAUAACUUUGUAUUGAUUUGAAGUGGAUCACCACUGCAGGGGCCUACAGCGAGUUCCCCCUCUGUAGGGUUCAGUGGUUCUGGUUUUUUCCUUUAAUUUGCCACUUGUCUGUAUGAGCAACAAGAAACAAGCAUGUAUUGCAAGUCUUCUGAAUGGAUAUGCUCACCUUGCGUGCUGCAGAUACUCUGUUUGUCAGGGCUCAGUGUUUCCAGUGGGAGAAACGUGUUCUCGCUCGUCCAGGUGACCUCUUCGGUCCCCGCAGACAGAAGAAGUCGGCCGUCUGCAGGUUUCUCCAGCCAACUGAAAAUGCUGCGCUCAGAUGAGCAGAAUCAACUGUCUGCAUUAAAACUCUCACCCUGCAUAAUUUGCACAAAAGCUCAUUUUACAGAGACCGUGACACAAACUUCCUCUUUAAAUUGGAGUUAAAAUAAAGCCUCAAGAAACACACCAAUGCACACUGAGUAAAAACGAUAUAAAUGUGUGGAAAUAAUUAAAAG